AUUGAACGCUGGCGGCAUGCCUUACACAUGCAAGUCGAACGGUAGAGGGGGCAACCUCUCGAGAGUGGCGAACGGGUGAGUAAAGCAUCGGAACGUGCCCAGUAGUGGGGGAUAGCCCGGCGAAAGCCGGAUUAAUACCGCAUGAGACCUACGGGUGAAAGGGGGGGAUCGCAAGACCUCUCGCUAUUGGAGCGGCCGAUGUCAGAUUAGGUAGUUGGUGGGGUAAAGGCCUACCAAGCCGACGAUCUGUAGCUGGUUUGAGAGGACGACCAGCCACACUGGGACUGAGACACGGCCCAGACUCCUACGGGAGGCAGCAGUGGGGAAUUUUGGACAAUGGGCGAAAGCCUGAUCCAGCCAUGCCGCGUGCGGGAAGAAGGCCUUCGGGUUGUAAACCGCUUUUGUCAGGGAAGAAAUCCUUUGAGUUAAUACCUCGGGGGGAUGACGGUACCUGAAGAAUAAGCACCGGCUAACUACGUGCCAGCAGCCGCAGUAA
rnacentral:rRNA from 1 species